UAGAGGUGCUGAUAGGCCACACCGUGGGCACAGCAAACGGCAGAAAGGACCAGCACUGCCUGCAUAGGAGGCGUACGCGCCCCGCCGGUCCUCGGAUCCUGCAGCGGGACCUGAAUCACAUUUCAAAACCACUUUCCUUUUUCUGAAGCACAGACUUUGCUUUCUGUUUCCUUUUUGCCGCGCCCCUUCUGAACAUGAAAACCGGCCUUCGGGGACACUUGACCGACCGAGUUUUCUUCGUGGAGAGCUGCCCAUCGGUCACAGCCCAGCCGUUUUCUAGUUUGUUCUGUCCCUCGGUGGAUACGAAACACUGGCCAGGUUUCUCAUUUUCUGAGGCUGCUGCUUUCUGACAGGCUUUAAGGGAUUAAGGGUGGAAUACAGGUGGGUUUCUUCCCCCUCCUGCCUCUGUCACCUGGACAUUGCCAUGGCGAUAAUCCUCCCUGAAACAAAAAUAAAGGGCAGAACCGGUUGGACAGAAAGUGUGGCGGAGAACUUGCAGUGCCACUGAGAGGCCAGGGACAUCGAGGCUGCGUGGAGCUCCUGUGAAAGCAGAAGUUUCUGGAGACUCGGUGGGUGCUUUGAACCAAGAAAGAAGGACACGCCCUCACCGGGACAUCCCUACUGCCUCUGCGUGCCAGCCAGAGGGACAGCCGGCAGGUGGGAGCCUCACAAUUAGCCAUCAGAGAAGGCGCAGAGACACAGGCUGGGAAGGGCCGACCAAGGGCUGCUCCUCCGUCCUCGUCCACAUUGCCCCCUGGAAGCUUAGUGGAACCACACGUGCCACCAGGACACCCUCAAAGGACCUGGCUCAGGCCGGACCACCUCUGGAGAGGCAACAGCUCUAGAUUCGAUCAAGAAUUCUUAUUUUGGAGCAUCAAGAAACUUCUAGAUCUGGGUAGAAAGCAAAGACCCUCAGGGAGAGGCGUCACUGAAGGUGACCUGGAGCUGGAGAAAACUCACCAUCCCAGAGCUUGUCCUUCCUUCCUUCCUCCGCUGCUGUCUGCUCACGAGACCUUCCCCCAACCCCGUCCCGGCACCCAAAGGGCUUCCUGCCACACCCCUUCUUGCCCUCCAGCUCCCACGUCUGCUGCACCUUUGGACCCAGCAGUUCUUGUUUGCUCCAUUAUCCUCCAGCCGGAUGCAGAGUGAAUAGUUAACCACACUUAGGUCAAAUGGGAUCUUAAUUUUUGUUCCUGCUCCUUCUGAAGAAGCCCGUGUCUGCGUAGCACAAGCAGCCUCGGGAUGGUAUCUCUUCGCAUUUAGUUGGCAUCUGGCCCCCAGGGUCCAGAGCGAUGCACGGACCAGUGCAGAAGACCCUCAGGCUCUCGGACUGUGGGGCCAUCGGAGUGGCUUCUGCAGGGUAGCUGCGGGUGAAGGCUGGGGUUCUCCGAGUUCAACCUGCUUUUUUUGGAUCACACACAGGUGUACGUCUGGAAGGGCACAAAAUGAAUGCUGUUGUUCAUUCCAGCUGUGUUCCAUGACACACAUGCACAGCCAGCUGUGAAGACCCCCUUCUCUCAGGUGGCAGUUGGGGUCCAAGCCAGAUCAUGGUGCUUCGUAGCAGGCGAGCCAGCUGCCAGGGCUGGUGGUGUUUAUCGAGGACACCCUUCCCCUAGUGUGCUGGUGAUACACACAUACCUGACAGCAGCCUGAGACUCUUCUGUCCCUUUUACCCUGUGGCCACCACAUAUAUGGUUAAAAACACUUCCUAAGUGUCUGUCAUGGGUCAACCUUGGCCAAACACAGAGCCAAAGAUGCUUAUACUUUCUUAUUUCCAAAGCAAACGGACAGCUUGCUUUUGUAAAAAGAAUUAAAGCUUCCCUGUGUUGAAGACGAUGUGCUUGUACGGCCACUUGGUGACUUCAGUGUCUUGUAAGUGGAGUGAUGGGGCCUUUUUGGACAUCUCAGUUCCACCACAGAGUGAUUGAGGAGAACCUCUUGAAGAUGUUUAGUGCUACUGAAAUUUAAAGCUCAUUUAUAGACUUUCACCUUCCUGUCUUCCUUGACACACAGUUAAAGCCAUUGUGUUGCUUGGAUUCCUUCAGGAGUCAAGGAACAGAGAUCCACUUGUGUUACCUUCACAAAUGCUGGUUUAUUCCACAGUUGCAGUGGA